ACAUAUUUUCUUGAAGAAUCGGAGGAGUUCAUAUUUGGAUUUGCCGCCUAAUCCCCCAGAACUAGGGUAGAAAUUUUUGGGCUAUGUAAUUUUUUUUUACUAGGUAAUAUGGGUUGUCUAAAUUUUUUUAAAAAAAUGUUAAUAAUAAAAAAGGAAUAAUGUGACAUGACAUCCUAUUAGGAGAGAGAUAAUAUUUUUUUU
rnacentral:lncRNA from 1 species